GAUAAUAUCUACUUAUUUCUGUGAACUGAGAAAGAAUGUCUGGUAGUAAUGAGUAAGCAUGUCCUGGUAAUUUGUUGGUGAUGAAAAAGAAUGUUCUGGUAAUUUGCUGGUGAUGAGAAAGAAUUUCCUGGUAAUUUGUUGGUAAUGAGAAAGAAUGUCCUUGUAAUUUGUUCGUGAUGAAAAAGAAUGUCCUGGUAAUUUGUUGAUGAUGAGAAAGAAUGUCCUGGUAAUUUGCUGUUGAUGAGAAAGAAUGUCCUGUUGAUUUGCUAGUGAUGAGUAAUAAUGUUCGGGUAAUUUGCUGGUGAUGAGAAAGAAUGUCUUUGUAAUUUGAUGGUGAUGAGAAAGUAUGUCCUGGUAAUUUGUUGGUGAUGAGAAAGAAUGUCCUGGUAAUUUGUUGGUGAUGAGAAAUAAUGUCCUGGUAAUUUGUUGGUGAUGAGAAAAGAUGUCCUGGUAAUUUGUUGGUUAUGAGAAAGAAUGUCCUGGUAAUUUGUUGGUGAUGAGAAAGA
rnacentral:lncRNA from 1 species